rfam:Oryza glaberrima chromosome 8 Oglab08_0055_10, whole genome shotgun sequence.
AAUAAGUGCAACCGUGAAAAUCCGUGUCGAACUUUUAAACGUCCGUCUUUGAAAAGUUUAUGAAAAAGUUAAAAUAAAUUAGUCAAAUGUAAAAUAUUAUUCAUGUUUUAUCAUCUAAUAACAACAAAAAUACUAAUCAUAAAAAAAUUUUAAAUAAGACAAAAGAUUAAACGUUAGACAUGAACCGUGCAAAACUGCAUUUAUU